GGUAGCGUUGCCAAGUGUUCUAAGGCGCUGGUUUAAGGCACCAGUCUCGUCAGAGGCGUGGGUUCGAAUCCCACCGCUGCCA
rnacentral:tRNA from 1 species